rnacentral:rRNA from 1 species
CGUGUAGGCGGUUUGGCAAGUCGAGUGUGAAAUCCCACGGCUCAACCGUGGAACUGCGCUCGAAACUGCCUUACUUGAGUGCGGGAGAGGUGUGCGGAAUUCCUGGUGUAGCGGUGGAAUGCGUAGAUAUCAGGAAGAACACCGGUGGCGAAGGCGGCCUUCUGGGCCGUACCUGACGCUCAGACGCGAAGGCUAGGGGAGCGAACG